AGCCUGGACCCGUGCGACUUAGACGCCUGAACCGUGUCAGGAUCGGAAGGUAGCAGCACUAAGGGAUGCUCGAAGUAGGCGCGGCUGUCCGGGUUUUU
rnacentral:SRP_RNA from 1 species